rnacentral:rRNA from 1 species
UACGAGGGGGGCGAGCGUUGUCCGGAAUCACUGGGCGUAAAGGGCGCGUAGGCGGCUGGGGAAGUCGGCGGUGAAAGCCCGGAGCUCAACUCCGGGUCGACCGUCGAGACUCCUCGACUCGAGCUCACUAGAGGCAGAUGGAAUUCCGGGUGUAGCGGUGGAAUGCGUAGAGAUCCGGAAGAACACCGGUGGCGAAGGCGGUCUGCUGGGGUGAGGCUGACGCUCAUGCACGACAGCGUGGGGAUCAAACAGG